GCCCGUUUGGCUUAGUGGUACAGCGUCUCACUCGUAUACCAAAAUUGACAUGAGAAGAUCCUCGGUUCGAUUCCGAGAAUGGGCA
rnacentral:tRNA from 1 species